CGGAACACAAAUCACUCGACAAUGGAUCUAGAACCUUAAAUUCAACAAAGCUAUCAACCUUAACGAGGCUGUAUGCUGCUCGUCAACUCUUGAGCCAAUCGCCAUAGUGAUUUAUCAGAUCUGCCUUGAGAAAAGACAGGACAAAAAGGGCCGCGAACAAAUGUGUCAAGCACCUCGGUUCGAAACAUAAUCCUCUCUUAUGAUUUAUUUAAUUUCGCUUGGGUUUUUUAUCGAAAGGCAAAGAUGGCCUCGAAGUUUAGCUUGUGGUGGGGUUCAAAUUCGAUUCGCCUUUUGAAGCCGAAACUUUCGUUUCGAAUGGCUUGCCCUGUGCCCUGCUGUGUUCGUGGUCUUUGUACGUAAAACCGCUAGAGCGAGUCGAAGGGUUUACAUGGAACGUGUUACCGGUAGUUUAUACGACUGAACUGUUGCGUACUAUGUCGCCUACUCUUAAUCUCGUUUUUCUUCUAUUGGAUCUCUUUGUUGUUUCGUGACUUAACUUCCUUUCGAGAUCAGCAAAACUGAAAAAUGUUAAGAACGUAACUGACGACUUUCGUUUCUCGAUUGGAAGACCCGAUUCGGCCAACAGAAUAGUGCUGAAAAGYCGGUUCCAAGUGACUGCUGAAUGCUUCUCUGUACAAAUUCAGUCAAGCGAAAGCCGUGAGCCUAAUGACCAAAAUAAUAUAAGCUUUYAUCAUAAUAGGCUCAGAAAAGAUGGAUGCAUAUUCAAAAGCCGUAUAUAUCGCUAGGGUAAUUGAGCGGGUGAAAAAGCCAUUACUGAGUGAAAUAAAAGUAAGAACCAUAACAAUAUUUAAAAUGCUCUCCCGAGUGACUGAUGACUCAAGUAUUGAAGUAAAGUGUCCAUAUAUGUAGAGAACAGUUCCAAUAACCAAUGCUGUUGCUACUUAAAUUCUCAACAAGAAAAACUCAGUACCAUGGACACAAACUCUUCAGGCUUUCAUAAGUAAAUACUGAAAAUGAUAUGGAAUUUAAAGAGCCUAAUUCGCAAGCGCUUUCGUGUUGGAAGAGGCCAAUGAAAUGUCACUCUGCUGCCUAUUGUGGUCGGGGGCUUUGUUCACGUAAUAAGGGAAAAGUGAAAUGUUAAUGACUUCCUGCAAGUUCUAUUAGCAGACAUACUCUGGCCACUAGUUGGCUGUGGAUGUGUCAGGGCAAAACCCUUAAUAUUGAAACCACGGAAACCACAAAACUCGUCGAAGAGGGUCACGUGACAACCCCUGCUGAACAACCAGCUGUCAUUCCGGAUUGUAUGCUUUUGUUUGCUAGUGAUAGUUAAGAAAAUUAUGUAAAAAAAUUAAGCAUAUUGAUUGGUGUUUAGUUGAGAGGAACAAAAGAAUGAAUUAUUGAAAGGACGAACGAGUAAAGGGAUAUGUACUUUCCAACCGGACAGCUUUCCCAAGGGAGCCCCUGUUAAAUAUGACCACCAACCAUUUCUAAUUCGUUUUUAAUAUUUGGACAGCUGAAAAAGAGCUUCUUGGUUAUGACACCCUUAAGAAAAAACGUCUUUUAUCUCGAGAUAAGAGAAAUGGAAUGGCUCUAUUUACGGCGCUGAGCAAAGAACAGGUCYCUGCGUGUGACUCAGAAUUUUUCUUUUCGUGGAAUCUCGAAAAUAGAUUUUUUUAAUGAAAACAUAUGGAACAUUCAGUACUGCAACGUAAUAUUCAAAACGGUCGAUGGAUCAUAGUGAAUCCGAGUGGAAGCAGCCAAUAGCCAAUCAGCUGCGGUGGACCGAAAACAGAGAUAAGAAUGACUAAAUCGGAGUCACAAAGAAGGAAAAAAAGAUGGUACUUGAGUACGUAGUUCUCUUAGCUUGUUUAAUGGUUUAAAGCGAGGGCUUUCAAUAAUGGAUCGGCUUGUUUGCACGAAACGUUUGAUAUAUCCGCGCUGGCAAUCAUUAGAAAAGGAUGAUGGGAAAUGAUAUAACGGCAAUCAUUAGAAAAGGAUGAUGGGAAAUGAUAUAACGAGUUACAUUCGUAAUUAAAUGUUACACAAAAUCGUUGAAAACUGUACAGAACUGUAAAUAGUACUUUUAAGAAGUUUGAAAUUCGUGUUCUUUCGGGUAAAAGACUUGAGAAUAUUUAUAGGUUUGUGGUUCUAAAUAGAUAAAUAUGUUGCAAGACUGAAUCACGAAAUCAGUACAAUUUWAAAAGAUUUUUUGGAGGGUGAGUUCAGCCCUUUUCUUCAUCUAAAUUCUUCAUUGAUUAUAACUUUCGUAGUGAAAGGGUUAAUGUUAUCGGAACAAAACUCUACUGAAGUCUUCCCAAAACAGUGUUGCUCAACUUCAGACAAGUUCAUAAGACGCUUUCUUUCUGGUUUUCUAUUAUUUGUUGUGUGGUUAAGAGAAACGUCUAUGUGGUGUACUUUACUUAUUAUGAACACACGUGUGUAUACACAGUUCCCUGUCACAGGUUGUCCAAUUGUACGGUGUAGAAGGGCGGUGGUUGCUUGUACAACCGUGGGAUAUACGACUCCACCGGGUCCAUAUUCUCACAGUAUAGCACCAGGCACACGUUUUUCCACCGGCAGAAAAAAGCUAACAAGUGAUGGAUUAUAGUACUUUCUUAAGGAUAACUCCAAUUAAUCAGCCAAUAAAUGCAUUAGAAGAAAAACAAAAAAAAACAAACAAAAAAUAAAUGAAAGCUGAGUAGAUAAUAGAACAACCUGUCUUGUCCAUAAAAACAAAGAUUUCUGUGGAAAUUCAUCAGCAGUAUUCUAAAUAGAUUAACUAUAAUAAUAGUGCUCGCUUCGUUGUGAUUUUUUAACUAAGAAAAUUAUAUAUUACUAGUUUAAGAAAUGGAKUUUUUGCCUGUUUAGUUUAGACGUUUAUAUUUUAGUCAUUAAUGGUGUCACGAUAUAAAAUGAAGACGGUUACAAGACCGUACAAGACAAAAUAAAAUGAAACAGUAUUUUAUGAA